rnacentral:rRNA from 1 species
CACGUAGUUAGCCGGGGCUCCUUAGUCAGGUACCGUCAUUUUCUUCCCUGCUGAUAGAGCUUUACAUACCGAAAUACUUCUUCACUCACGCGGCGUCGCUGCAUCAGGGUUUCCCCCAUUGUGCAAUAUUCCCCACUGCUGCCUCCCGUAGGAGUUUGGGCCGUGUCUCAGUCCCAAUGUGGCCGUUCACCCUCUCAGGCCGGCUACUGAUCGUCGCCUUGGUGGGCUGUUACCCCGCAACCAGCUAAUCAGACGCGGAUCCAUCGUAUACCACCGGAGUUUUUCACACUGCUUCAUGCGAAGCUGUGCGCUUAUGCGGUAUUAGCACCUAUUUCUAAGUGUUAUCCCCCAGUAUACGGCAGGUUCUCCACGCGUUACUCACCCGUCCGCCACUAACUCAUACAUCACUAGGUUUCAUAUGACGCCGUUCGACUUGCAUGUGUUAAGCUACGCCGCCAGCCGUUACACUCCUUGACGUCCGAGGAUCGAAACUCUCUGGAACG